CACAGCCGAGUCCAAAUUUAGGCCGGGAACGCAGGGCGUGGCUCCCCGCGCACGAACAAAGCCGGGGCCCGGGGGGCGCCAGGGGGGCGCCCGGGACCGCUGCCGGGGUGCGCAGGGGCGCACACGCGGGCCGGGAGCACCUAAGGGCCAGCGGCUCCCCGCCAAGUGUCUCCAACUACCGGAGUCCGUGAGUUUGAAAACACGCUGCCUUUCGCCUCUGGCCUGGAGGCUUGGAGGUGUCCUGUUUUCUAUCGGCCAGUGCAGCGUGUGGACCCUGGGUUUGGGCACACAGGAGGCUCUUCUUGGGCAGCAAAGGGAUGCUGGAGCUGCUGCAGCCAUUUUGGCACCUUGAGGGCCACCUUCCUUGGCUCAAAAUGAAAAUUUCCAUCAUCUUUUGCAGAUGCCCUGAGAGCAUCAGGAAGCUCUAAGCUCCAGAAUAAAAAUUAAAUUAAUUGAAGAAACCUCCUGAGUUGUAUCCAAGCUCCACAGAAGAGAUAUUUGAAGGGCAUACAUCAAGACCUAGAGAGGGAGGAGGGAGGAGGCUCCUUUUGGAACAGGCUUCUUGCUAUGCAUGCGUUAUGCUGGUUCAAACUCAGGACAGGAGGGAGGUCUGGGCGGUUUUGACAGUCCCUGUAACACACACACACGCACACACACACAUGCACACGCACACACCUACAGACUGGCCCUUCUCCCACCUUUUACAGAGCAUCCUUUGUGGACCACUGGGCUUUGUCUAUUGACCUGGAAAAUGGGUCUCAACGGGGACCCCAAGAACCCAACGGACAGAAAAAAGUACUUACAAAGCAGAACAGAAAAGACCGUAUACACGGAGGGCGUGAGGGUGGCAGACAACCUCGGCUGUCAGAAGGGAAGUUUGCAGAAAGGAAAACCUGUCUAGGGGGGGAAAUUCCAAGAGGCCUUUCCGGGUUUCAGGAAACUGGGGACCUGACUCCAUCUCCUUGGGAAAACUCUGUCCCCACUGCAACCCAACACUGAGGUCUCCUCUUUGUGGCCCUGGAGUCAAAAGACACAACCAAACCAAAGAACAGCAAAAAGAAGGGUUUUACUUGCAAUUUCCCAAAGCAGUGUCUUCUCCGAACCAGAAAACGGGGAGAGUCUGAAGCUCGGGUGCUUGCAUAAUCACGACAGGGCUUGCGAGGUGGGGGACCCAGGGCAGAAGUCAUCUUAAGGUGUCAGAGUCCGGGUCCUACAUGAGGGUCAGCAAGGCUCAGUAUUAUCAAUACUCUGGCUCCGGCCAGUCUGCUGUUUGGGGAGCUCACAGGGGUUUAAAAUCCUGCCAAAGGGACUCAGGAAUGUGCACCAGGUCAAUCUUGACUCUUCACACAGCGAGGGGAGUUGUACGCCUGGUUUCCUGUCUCCGAUUCCAUCGGGCUGGGUAGAGACUGUUUUUCCAUUUUUUCGUUCCCCUAAAAAAAAAAAAAAAAAAAAAAAAAAAUCAUUAACUACUGAGCCUUGUGUAUAUUUUUGUCAUGCUGACGUCCUAGGAAGUUCUGCAAGAAGUGUGCAGGGGUGGGUCGAGCCGAUUGGCAAUAGAUCACAAAA